rnacentral:lncRNA from 1 species
GUGUGUUCAUAUGCCUGGGAUUGACCAUCCUGAACCAAGACUUAAAAAGGCCCCCGUCGGAUUGGGAAUUUUCAUCCUAUUGCAACUUAGUAACACUGGAAUAUGAAUUUUGUAAAUAAUUUAGAAAUCAACAACAGAAAGUUGAGAAUGUGAAAUAGAACUCCUGAAACCCUCCUUUCUGGAGUCCAAUGAGGCUUUUUGUGCUACACUUUUCAAAUUAUAAUCGUAAUUGUUGAAGUUUACCACUUUGUAAAUUCACUUUUCGUCCUUCUUUACUCUGAAUAUCACACUAUUCCAGAUUAUUUCCUGUCUUAUCUUGAUGCAUCUCCUAAAUUCUACAGGAUGUGUUCAAUCUACUUCCAAAUUUCAAUGUAUGAACAAAUUAAAGCUUUCGCAGGUAAAUUAGCUGGUGGUCAAUUAUUAUUUACUUCUUUUUUUCUUUUUCUUCCCCCUCCUGUUGACAACUGCAUUUUGUAGCAGGAUUCUUGAGGCCCAAGUCUCUAACCAUAUUACUGGUAUUCUGGAAAAGUUUAUAGAUUUCUAUUACUUCUCAUAUUUUUAUGAGCCAAGAGGUCAUUUCAAUGGCAACUAUUAUCACCAGUUAUUUUUCACGUGUUGCUAAGCCCUUGUUUAGAACAGUUCUUUAAAGCUCAUUUCCCCCAAAAAAAAAUUCGAUCAUACUCUUCCAAUAAAAUAAAUUUGGACGUGGGCCCAUAACUUUUCCUAUAUUUUAACCACAAAUUCUUCAAAAAACUCACUUUUUACAUAACUUUUUUCUAAAAAAUUCUACAUUAGGCCCAAAAUAUGCAACUGAUCAUGUGUUUCCAUAAAUUGCAUUAUUUUCCAUAAUCAAAAAAUGACGUUCACUUUGGUCCAUAAAACAAAUGUUUAUUCUAGUCAAUCUAUUCAGGGUCCUUGCGUUAUUGUUGCAGUGCCUAUGGAUUCUGGAAAGAUUACCUUGUCAAGGAUGCUUCUUAGUUGGGCUUCUAAAUAAGGUUGGAAACCUACUUUUUAGAUUUAGACAGAGACAAAGAUCUAUAGCAAUUCCUUGAUCCAUUGCUGCAAAUCUGGUUGAACUGCCCGCUGAUCCAGUGGAAGGAAUAUCUCUUAAUAUCCUCUAGUUUACUUCCAUGGACAUGUAGUUGGGUACAGUAUUUUUGCUAAGGAUUGCAGGGGACUAGGCACUACAAUGAACAAGAUUUUAGCUUCUUUUCUUUUUUAAUAUCAAGUCCUGCCCAAUAUUUGUGCACCAAGCAUACAUUUAUUGGCUAUUGCAAGUGUUCCACAAAUUCAUUUAGUGUCUGUUUGUUUCCAUCAAUAGUUUGUCAUUUUUUUGUUGCCUUUUCCCCCGAUGUGAACUUGGUUUUUUCAGUGUUAAUGUAGUUCUUUUCAAGGUACUCAUGAAGGAAAUUGCCCAACUUUGGAGAGACAGCUUGCCAAAAAUGCUGAGGCAUGGUGAUAAAUACCUUGGGAUGGAUAAAAAUCAUUUUAAUCACUCAAACAUAUCUGAUGAAUUAAAAAUAAGUUCAUAAUAGUGAUUGCACUUAUACCAUGUCAUCUAAUAUUUUAUUUCCAUGGUUGACGGUGCUCCAUGCAAUUAAUAGGUUUUUAAUGCAACCAUUGUUCUGAUUCUGGAUCAGGCAUGGUGUAUUCAUCAAAUAAUGAUGCUACCAAUUCAAUUAGGCAUGCUAUUAUUCAUUUUCUCUCAUUGAAGACGUUGAAUUGUUCUGAAUUUUCAGCACUUGACGAGGGCCCCUUGAAUGUUAAAUUGUAAAUUGGGGAUGGCAACUAUUUUACAUAUCUCCCCACCCCGAAAAAAGAAAUGAAAAAAAAAAAGGAAACGAAACGAAGAGGGACCAAGAUCAUCUAUGCUGCUUUGGUAUGAUGACCUAGGAAUAUGAUUUAUGGAGAAUAUAUUCUCCCAAGAGCAUGCUUUUCAAAUUUUUUAGUUGCUUUACACCUGUUAGCUCUCGCUGUUGAUGAGCAAGUUUUCAUUAUUUCUCUUGAUUUUCAUAUUUUUCAACAAAAAAACACAUGAUGAACUGUCUCCAACUGGUUACAACACCAGCGUGCAGAUGCCAGUUGAAUCUUGAAUCUGCAUUUCAUUACUUCAUCUAGAGGCUAGAACUAUCGAGUAAUCUCAGGAUGAAGAGUGAACUUUUUAUCGUGGCACAUAAUGGGCAUAGGUUUCACAUAUGGUUUGUUCUUUGGAUGUAAGAUAGUCUCUGUCUAACAGUCUUAGUGUUGGUCCGGUGGUAGUACAGGUUGUUCACCGUCAGAUUUGUUUGGGUUCCGGCAACAUUAGUGUCAAAUGUUUGAGGUGCUGGUAUGAUAUCUUCUUCAAUUGGUUGGAUGUUCAAGACAUUCUUGAAGAAACCUUUUUAGUGGAUCCUGCUCUGGACUUGAAAAAUUUGUUGGAAAACAAAUAGAGUGAUGACUUUGAAAACCAAAACUAAACUUAUCAACCUUACCGAAAAUUGGACAGAAUAACGGC